UGGGGAAUCUUGCGCAAUGGGCGAAAGCCUGACGCAGCGACGCCGCGUGGGGGAAGAAGGCUUUCGGGUUGUAAACCCCUUUCAGGAAGGACGAAGCCACUCGGGUGAAUAGCCCAGAGGGUGACGGUACUUCCAGAAGAAGCCCCGGCUAACUACGUGCCAGCAGCCGCGGUAAUACGUAGGGGGCAAGCGUUGUCCGGAUUUAUUGGGCGUAAAGAGCGUGUAGGCGGUCUGGUAGGUCCGUUGUGAAAACUCGAGGCUCAACCUCGAGACGCCGAUGGAAACCCUCAGACUAGAGUCCGGAAGAGGAGAGUGGAAUUCCUGGUGUAGCGGUGAAAUGCGCAGAUAUCAGGAAGAACACCCGUGGCUAAGGCGGCUCUCUAGUACGGUACUGACGCUGAGACGCGAAAGCGUGGGGAGCGAACAGGAUUAGAUACCCUGGUAGUCCACGCCGUAAACGAUGGGUGCUAGGUGUAGGGGGUGUCGACUCCCUCUGUGCCGAAGCUAACGCAUUAAGCACCCCGCCUGGGGAGUACGGCCGC
rnacentral:rRNA from 1 species